rnacentral:rRNA from 1 species
CCUACGGGAGGCAGCAGUGGGGGAUAUUGCACAAUGGGGGAAACCCUGAUGCAGCGACGCCGCGUGGGUGAAGAAGGGCCUCGGCGCGGAAAGCCCUGUCAGCAGGGAAGAAAAUGACGGUACGUGAAGAAGAAGGCGCGGCUAACGAGGUGCCAGCAGCCGCGGUAAGACGUAGGGGGCAAGCGUUAUCCGGAUUUACUGGGGGUAAAGGGGGCGGAGACGGCGAGUCAAGCCCGGAGUGAAAGCCCGGGGCCCCACCCCGGGACUGCUCUUGGAACUGCGUGGCUAGAGUGCAGGAGGGGCAGGCGGAAUUCCUGGUGUAGCGGUGAACUGCGUAGAUAUCAGGCGGAACACCGGUGGCGAAGGCGGCCUGCUGGACUGCAACUGACGUUGAGGCCCGAAAGCGUGGGGAGCAAACAGGAUUAGAUACCCGAGUAGUC